rnacentral:rRNA from 1 species
AGCGCUGAAGGUUGGUACUUGUACCAACUGGAUGAGCAGCGAACGGGUGAGUAACGCGUGGGGAAUCUGCCUUUGAGCGGGGGACAACAUUUGGAAACGAAUGCUAAUACCGCAUAAAAACUUUAAACACAAGUUUUAAGUUUGAAAGAUGCAAUUGCAUCACUCAAAGAUGAUCCCGCGUUGUAUUAGCUAGUUGGUGAGGUAAAGGCUCACCAAGGCGAUGAUACAUAGCCGACCUGAGAGGGUGAUCGGCCACAUUGGGACUGAGACACGGCCCAAACUCCUACGGGAGGCAGCAGUAGGGAAUCUUCGGCAAUGGACGAAAGUCUGACCGAGCAACGCCGCGUGAGUGAAGAAGGUUUUCGGAUCGUAAAACUCUGUUGGUAGAGAAGAACGUUGGUGAGAGUGGAAAGCUCAUCAAGUGACGGUAACUACCCAGAAAGGGACGGCUAACUACGUGCCAGCAGCCGCGGUAAUACGUAGGUCCCGAGCGUUGUCCGGAUUUAUUGGGCGUAAAGCGAGCGCAGGUGGUUUAUUAAGUCUGGUGUAAAAGGCAGUGGCUCAACCAUUGUAUGCAUUGGAAACUGGUAGACUUGAGUGCAGGAGAGGAGAGUGGAAUUCCAUGUGUAGCGGUGAAAUGCGUAGAUAUAUGGAGGAACACCGGUGGCGAAAGCGGCUCUCUGGCCUGUAACUGACACUGAGGCUCGAAAGC